rnacentral:rRNA from 1 species
GACGAAGGAUGCAAGCGUUAUCCGGAUUCAUUGGGUUUAAAGGGAGCGUAGGCGGACUUAUAAGUCAGUGGUGAAAUCUUUGGGCUUAACCCAGAAACUGCCAUUGAUACUGUAAGUCUAGAGUACAGUUGCCGUUGGCGGAAUAUGACAUGUAGUGGUGAAAUACUUAGAUAUGUCAUAGAACACCGAUUGCGAAGGCAGCUAACGAAGCUGUAACUGACGCUGAGGCUCGAAAGUGCGGGGAUCAAACAGG